GGACGCCCCCUACCGACCCCGCGGCAGCGGCCGGAGCCCGUCGGCGGGGCGGGGCGCGGCGGGGCACAUCCCUCCGCCGCUCCCCACACCGCCCGCUCGCUGCCGGCCGGGGCGCCCUGAGGCGGGGCAGGUGGCGUGUCUGGCCGCCAUGUUGGGUCUCUGAGGAGAAGCGGUGUUGAGGUGUGAGGCGGUGCUGUGAGAGGGCUGCAUACACAGCUGUCAGAGCCGCCGUGAGGGGAAGGGACGUGGAGGCUCUUGCCAUCUUGUCAUCAGGGAAGUGCCAAGGAAGAGCUGCUGAACCCUGCAAGAGCUGCUCCUGCACACUGGAUGCUCUAGGUCCAUGGUGUUCUGUCUGAAGCUCAGAAAAAAAAUCAAGAAAGUCCCAUCAUCUUCUGUAGAGUUUCUGCUGCUCUGUUUCUUGAGGAGAGGGAGGAAGCAGGAAGGGAAGAAUUAUGGUUAUGUUGCUCAAAGUGAUCAAGAAGUAAUUGAAUUAACUGGAAAAAAAAAGGAUAAGAUAAAUUACUAAGAAGAAUUAACUGUGUGCACCUGAGGUCAGAAGGCUCCUAGCAAAUUCAAGGAAUUACUGCAUGGCUGAGAGUCAGCCUCUGAAAUUCUCAAAAAGCUCAUGAAAAGAACUGCUGUGUUUCCUUUGGAAAAACUGGAUGGCAGCAUAAGGAGAGGGAAAAAAAGUGUUAGAAUGCAUUACAGCUUUACUGGGGUUUGGAAAUAUAAGAGAGUUUAGGAUGUACCUAUUGCUGUCACAACUCAAGUUGGAGAGGGAAUUCAUUUGGGGAUAAACUUAAUGUGUUGUGACCCACUGCAAGGGCAGUUCAGCAAUGGAAAAUUGUGGGUGGAAAAUCAUGAGGCUUUCCUUGAGAAACAAUGACAUUCCUCACAAGUUAGUAGUGUACAAUAAAUAAGUUUGAUGAAAUGACUUUUGGGAUCACCUUCAGAGUUGAGGAAAUGCUAUUUGAUGUGCUUAGCCAAGGGGGCACAGGCAUGAAUGAGAGUUUGUAUGGGCCUUGGUGAACAAUACUAACCUGUAAAAUUAGACCAAAAAAAAAAAAAGAGAUGGCUUUCCCGAAAGCUGCUGGCAGAGUAAGGAUGCUGAAGUAGCAAGGCUGCUGACCAGCAAUUCCUGCACUCUUAACUGUUUGCCAAAAUGUAAUUUAAAUUUUCUUCUAUACCAUCAAAGGCUGAAAAUAGGAAAAAAUAAAACAAAACAUACUGGCCCAGUAUAGAGCAAGUUGUUCCCUGAUCCUAAACCCACUCCGCAGUCACCAGUGCUGCUCUUUGCAAUCCUUUCUCUUGAGUAAAUGGGAAUCAGAAUUAAUUAAACAGCAAGUAAGUUACUUCGAAGUACAUCCAGACUUGAAAAGGCUACCUUGCUCUUUUUACUUUGUAUGACAGAGUAUAUGUUUAAUUGAAAAAACAACCAACCAACAAACAUUCAAGGCAUGAGCUUCCAUCCUUUUGCCCUCUUCAGUCUUCUUUUUCAACACAAAGUAUCUUUUUGAGUCAGAGGAAGUAGUUAUAUCAUAUUUUCUCCAUCUCCACCUUGUCUGUUGUGUUACAGGUUAUUAGAAGUAGGGGGGAAAAUGAACAGUUCUGUAGCCUGUACAUCUCAUCACUUGUAAUCUGCACACACUGAAAAGCAAACUGGGGUGUUCUUGUGAAAUGUCUUUAUGUCAAAUAAAGGAAGAAAUGCUCAUCUUGUUUCAGGAA